AACGAACGCUGGCGGCAGGCCUAACACAUGCAAGUCGAGCGAGACCUUCGGGUCUAGCGGCGGACGGGUGAGUAACGCGUGGGAACGUGCCCUUCUCUACGGAAUAGCCCCGGGAAACUGGGAGUAAUACCGUAUACGCCCUUUGGGGGAAAGAUUUAUCGGCGAAGGAUCGGCCCGCGUUGGAUUAGGUAGUUGGUGGGGUAAUGGCCCACCAAGCCGACGAUCCAUAGCUGGUUUGAGAGGAUGAUCAGCCACACUGGGACUGAGACACGGCCCAGACUCCUACGGGAGGCAGCAGUGGGGAAUCUUAGACAAUGGGGGCAAGCCUGAUCUAGCCAUGCCGCGUGAGUGAUGAAGGCCUUAGGGUUGUAAAGCUCUUUCAGCUGGGAAGAUAAUGACGGUACCAGCAGAAGAAGCCCCGGCUAACUCCGUG
rnacentral:rRNA from 1 species